rnacentral:rRNA from 1 species
AACGAACGCUGGCGGUGCGUUUUAAGCAUGCAAGUCGAACGGCAGGAAGGUGCUUGCACUUUCCUAGAGUGGCGGACUGGUGAGUAACGCGUAGGUGAUCUACCUUUAAGACUGGGACAGCCUUUAGAAAUAAGGGGUAAUACCGGAUGUGCUUAUUAUGUUUUGACGUAGUAAGGGAAGGAGCGUUUGCUCCGCUUAGAGAUGAGCCUGCGUCCCAUUAGCUAGUUGGUAAGGUAACGGCCUACCAAGGCGAUGAUGGGUAUCCGACCUGAGAGGGUGAUCGGACACAUUGGGACUGAGAUACGGCCCAAACUCCUACGGGAGGCAGCAGCUGAGAAUCUUCCGCAAUGGACGAAAGUCUGACGGAGCGACACCGCGUGAAUGAUGAAGGCCGAAAGGUUGUAAAGUUCUUUUGCAGACAAAGAAUAAGGAUAGAAGGAAAUGUCUAUUUGAUGACGGUAGUUAUGCGAAUAAGCCCCGGCUAAUUACGUGC